rnacentral:rRNA from 1 species
GGCCGUCGUCAGUUCGUACUGUGAAGCAUCCUGUUAAGUCAGGCAACGAGCGAGACCCACGCCAACAGUUGCCAGCUCGUCCUCCGGGAUGGUGGGGACACUGUUGGGACCGCCUCUGCUAAAGAGGAGGAAGGAAUGGGCAACGGUAGGUCAGCAUGCCCCGAAUUAUCUGGGCUACACGCGGGCUACAAUGGGUGGGACAAUGGGUAUCGACACCGAAAGGUGAAGGCAAUCUCCUAAACCCAUCCGUAGUUCGGAUUGUGGGCUGCAACUCGCCCACAUGAAGCUGGAAUCUGCAGUAAUCGUGUCUCAAAAUGGCACGGUGAAUAUGUCCCUGCUCCUU